GACGAACGCUGGCGGCGUGCUUAACACUUGCAAGUCGAACGGAAAGGCCCUGCUUUUGUGGGGUGCUCGAGUGGCGAACGGGUGAGUAACACGUGAGUAACCUGCCCUUGACUUUGGGAUAACUUCAGGAAACUGGGGCUAAUACCGGAUAGGAGCUCCUGCUGCAUGGUGGGGGUUGGAAAGUUUCGGCGGUUGGGGAUGGACUCGCGGCUUAUCAGCUUGUUGGUGGGGUAGUGGCUUACCAAGGCUUUGACGGGUAGCCGGCCUGAGAGGGUGACCGGCCACAUUGGGACUGAGAUACGGCCCAGACUCCUACGGGAGGCAGCAGUGGGGAAUAUUGCACAAUGGGCGGAAGCCUGAUGCAGCAACGCCGCGUGCGGGAUGACGGCCUUCGGGUUGUAAACCGCUUUCGCCUGUGACGAAGCGUGAGUGACGGUAAUGGGUAAAGAAGCACCAGCUAACUACGUG
rnacentral:rRNA from 1 species